GGCUUUAUAGUCAAUAAUGAUUUUGAAUUGCAAAUUCAAAGGUGAGUUUCAUCUCUCUAAGGCUU
rnacentral:tRNA from 1 species